AACCCUAGCAUCUAUGAAUCUAUGAAUGAGAACAGGCAUAAAAGGAUCCCUGGAAAAGACCAGGGAAAGGGGGAGAGAACUUGGAAGCUCCAGACCGGAAGUCGCUGUGACGGCCAAGCAGAGAAGAGUGGGAAGCAAUCCCUAUUCUCUCCUAGGCUGUUGGGGAAGUGUUGACAGCCUGAAGAGCAGCAGAGAGAGGCAAACAAGGGGGAGCACUAGCAGAGAGCAAUGCCGGUGAGACAGACGGCGACAAGCAGGGAGCACAGCAGAAAUACUGUUGCCAGGCAUGCUUUUCUGAUGUCAUUCAUCAAGCACCUGGCGAAUCAGAGCCGGCAGGAGCGGAUAGUGUGUAGUCUGUGAUUCCAGCGAGUCCUGUGCUUCUGACUCUCAUUCCCGACAAACACAGGAAACAGAGGGCGAGUAACUCAUAAUGAACAGACCCUGACUCUGCAAAUACUUGCACACAAAGACAAGCAUGUACAUAUGAGUCGUCUAAUUGAAACCAGUGAACUCAGCAGACUGCUGAUUUGCAUAAAGCUAAAAAAAGGUGAAUAAAUGCUUUACAUGACUUGGACCUUAUUUAGCA